AGUGAACGCUGGCGGUAGGCCUAACACAUGCAAGUCGAACGGCAGCACAGUAAGAGCUUGCUCUUACGGGUGGCGAGUGGCGGACGGGUGAGGAAUACAUCGGAAUCUACUUUUUCGUGGGGGAUAACGUAGGGAAACUUACGCCAAUACCGCAUACGACCUACGGGUGAAAGCAGGGGACCUUCGGACCUUGCGCGAUUGAAUGAGCCGAUGUCGGAUUAGCUAGUUGGGGGGGUAAAGGCCCACCAAGGCGACGAUCCGUAGCUGGUCUGAGAGGAUGAUCAGCCACACUGGAACUGAGACACGGCCCGGACUCCUACGGAAGGCAGCAGUGGGGAAUAUUGGACAAUGGGCGCAAGCCUGAUCCAGCCAUACCGCGUGGGUGAAGAAGGCUUUCGGGUUGUAAAGCCUUUUUGUUGGGAAAGAAAAGCAGCAGGUUAAUACCCCGCUGUUCUGACGGUACCCAAAGAAUAAGCACCGGCUAACUUCGU
rnacentral:rRNA from 1 species